rnacentral:rRNA from 1 species
GGGGAUAGCUUGUGGAAACACAGGGUAAUACCGAAUGAUGUCGUACUACUAUGGUGGAACGAUUAAAGGGGCUAAGGCCUCGCCGGGAGAUGAGUCUGCGUCUGAUUAGCUAGUUGGUGGGGUAAGAGCCUACCAAGGCGACGAUCAGUAGCCGGCCUGAGAGGGUGAACGGCCACACUGGGACUGAGAUACGGCCCAGACUCCUACGGGAAGCAGCAGCUAAGAAUCUUCCGCAAUGGACGAAAGUCUGACGGAGCGACGUCGCGUGGGUGAUGAAGGCGGAAACGUUGUAAAACCCUUUUCUGGACGAGGAAUAAGGUUUGGAGGGAAUGCCAGACUGAUGACGGUAGUUCAGGAAUAAGCCCCGGCUAAUUACGUGCCAGCAGCCGCGGUAACACGUAUGGGGCGAGCGUUGUUCGGAAUUAUUGGGCGUAAAGGGCGUGCAGGCGGUUAUGCAAGUCUGACGUGAAAUAUCCAGGCUCAACCUGGAAAACGCGUUGGAAACUGUGUGACUAGAGUUCUGGAGGGGUAGCUGGAAUUCCAGGUGUAGGGGUGAAAUCUGUAGAUAUCUGGAAGAACAUCAGUGGCGAAGGCGAGCUACUGGCCAAGAACUGACGCUGAGACGCGAAAGCGUGGGGAGCAAACAGGAUUAGAUACCCUGGUAGUCCACGCGGUAAACGAUGUACACUAGGUGUUGGGCUGUAGAGCUCAGCGCCGGAGCUAACGCGUUAA